rnacentral:rRNA from 1 species
ACUCCUACGGGAGGCAGCAGUGGGGAAUAUUGCACAAUGGGCGAAAGCCUGAUGCAGCAACGCCGCGUGAGGGACGACGGCCUUCGGGUUGUAAACCUCUUUUAGUAGGGAAGAAGCGAAAGUGACGGUACCUGCAGAAAAAGCACCGGCUAACUACGUGCCAGCAGCCGCGGUAAUACGUAGGGUGCAAGCGUUAUCCGGAAUUAUUGGGCGUAAAGAGCUCGUAGGCGGUUUGUCGCGUCUGCCGUGAAAACUGGAGGCUCAACCUCCAGCCUGCGGUGGGUACGGGCAGACUAGAGUGCGGUAGGGGAGAUUGGAAUUCCUGGUGUAGCGGUGGAAUGCGCAGAUAUCAGGAGGAACACCAAUGGCGAAGGCAGAUCUCUGGGCCGUAACUGACGCUGAGGAGCGAAAGCAUGGGGAGCGAACAGGAUUAGAUACCCUGGUAGUCCAUGCCGUAAACGUUGGGAACUAGAUGUAGGGGCCAUUCCACGGUUUCUGUGUCGCAGCUAACGCAUUAAGUUCCCCGCCUGGGGAGUACGGCCGCAAGGCUAAAACUCAAAGGAAUUGACGGGGGCCCGCACAAGCGGCGGAGCAUGCGGAUUAAUUCGAUGCAACGCGWAGAACCUUACCAAGGCUUGACAUAUACCGGAAAAGUUCAGAAAUGUUCUCCCCGCAAGGUCGGUAUACAGGUGGUGCAUGGUUGUCGUCAGCUCGUGUCGUGAGAUGUUGGGUUAAGUCCCGCAACGAGCGCAACCCUCGUUCUAUGUUGCCAGCACGUUAUGGUGGGAACUCAUAGGAGACUGCCGGGGUCAACUCGGA